ACUUUCUCUCUCUAGAAUUUUUUCUUUCUUCAUGAAUUUUCUCUCUCUAGAAGUAUUAUGGAUCAGUGGAGGAUCCAGAUACAUAGACAAGUCCUAAUUUUGGUUAAUCCUAAGAGAGAUCCUCGAUCUGUAUUAUUAGGAUCGAUUAUCGGUAAUUUUCUCCAUAUAUGAUCUUUAAAUUUGAUCAAGGUUACGAAGAGAUGAUUG
rnacentral:lncRNA from 1 species